UACAGAGGGUGCGAGCGUUGUCCGGAAUCACUGGGCGUAAAGGGCGCGUAGGCGGCGCGGUAAGCGUGCGGUGAAAGCCCGGGGCUCAACCCCGGGUCGGCCGUGCGGACUGCCGGGCUGGAGCACUGUAGAGGCAGGUGGAAUUCCGGGUGUAGCGGUGGAAUGCGUAGAGAUCCGGAAGAACACCGGUGGCGAAGGCGGCCUGCUGGGCAGUAGCUGACGCUGAAGCGCAACAGCGUGGGGAGCAAACAGG
rnacentral:rRNA from 1 species